UACGUAGGGUGCAAGCGUUUAAUCGGAAUUACUGGGCGUAAAGCGUGCGCAGGCGGUUUGUAAGUCUGUCGUGAAAGCCCCGGGCUCAACCUGGGAAUUGCGAUGGAGACUGCAAGGCUUGAAUCUGGCAGAGGGGGUAGAAUUCCACGUGUAGCAGUGAAAUGCGUAGAGAUGUGGAGGAACACCGAUGGCGAAGGCAGCCCCCUGGGUCAAGAUUGACGCUCAUGCACGAAAGCGUGGGGGAGCAAACAGG
rnacentral:rRNA from 1 species